rnacentral:rRNA from 1 species
AGUGAACGCUGGCGGUAGGCCUAACACAUGCAAGUCGAACGGCAGCACAGUAAGAGCUUGCUCUUACGGGUGGCGAGUGGCGGACGGGUGAGGAAUACAUCGGAAUCUACUUUUUCGUGGGGGAUAACGUAGGGAAACUUACGCUAAUACCGCAUACGACCUACGGGUGAAAGCAGGGGAUCUUCGGACCUUGCGCGAUUGAAUGAGCCGAUGUCGGAUUAGCUAGUUGGCGGGGUAAAGGCCCACCAAGGCGACGAUCCGUAGCUGGUCUGAGAGGAUGAUCAGCCCCACUGGAACUGAGACACGGCCAGACUCCUACGGGAGGCAGCAGUGGGGAAUAUUGGACAAUGGGCGCAAGCCUGAUCCAGCCAUACCGCGUGGGUGAAGAAGGCCUUCGGGUUGUAAAGCCCUUUUGUUGGGAAAGAAAAGCAGCAGGUUAAUACCCCGCUGUUCUGACGGUACCCAAAGAAUAAGCACCGGCUAACUUCGUG